rnacentral:rRNA from 1 species
UUCGGCGUCCGCUUUGUAAUCUCAAGAAGUGUUUUCCGCUUCGGACCAUGCCUAAGUCCCUUGGAAAAGGGCAUCAUAGAGGGUGAUAAUCCCGUACAUGGCAUGGAGCGCCCGAAGCUUUGUGAUACGCUUUCUAAGAGUCGAGUUGUUUGGGAAUGCAGCUCAAAAUGGGUGGUAAAUGCCAUCUAAGGCUAAAUAUUGGGGAGAGACCGAUAGCGAACAAGUACAGUGAUGGAAAGAUGAAAAGAACUUUGAAAAGAGAGUUAAACAGUACGUGAAAUUGCCAAAAGGGAAGGGUAGGAGGUCAGAGAUGCGGCCUGGGAUUCAGCCUUGCUUUUGCUUGGUGUUUUUCCCAGAUUGCAGGCCAACGUCGGUUUUGGGCACUGGAGAAGGGUAGGAGGAACGUGGCACCUCUCGGGGUGUGUUAUAGCCUCCUACUGGAUACAGCGACCGAGACCGAGGACAGCAGCGUACUCGCAAGAGCGGGCCUUCGGGCACCUUUACGCUUAGGGCGUUGGCAUAAUGGCCCUCUACCACC